CCAUCCAAUCUCCCGCACCGUGUCCGCCGCAUUUUUCUUUUGUCCCGCAUCGCCCUCACCUACCCUCGCUCAAGCGGCCGAGCGCCGAGCACCACAGAUUUUUUCACCCUGCCCCCGCUGUAUCCCCACCUUCAUCCAAGGUCUGCACCAUCCAUCAACCACCCUGCCACCGGCGUCAGCCGGUUUCCCUCCACCGCGCGCCGCCCAAGCCCGCUCCAUCCAUGGCGCGACCGCCCAACCCCGCUCCCUCAACAUCCCAGCGGCCCUGCCCGUUUCCUUCAUGGUGCGGCUCCCGUGGUUAGCGGCAGCGGCCCUGGUUCCUUCGCGUGCUCCCUUCGAGCUCGAGCUAUUUGUACUGUGAAGCUCUCGCGGAAGAGGCGGACCUUCGCGCCGGUGUGGCAGGAGCAAGGGCGGCGCACCACUAUUCCCACGAAAGUUCCGAUCGAACUUUGUCGAUCUGCUCAGGAACACGGGCGGCCGCCAGGUAAGGAGGCGAAGAGGGUAAUUUGGGCGGAGGCGGCGCUGGGAUGUGGUGCAGCCGGCAGCGCGGAAAUACGGGUUCCCACUGUGUGUAACUAGCACCGCUGCGUCUGGCGGCCCGUGCAUCACGCGAAGCAGCUGUGGGCACUUACCACCGCAAUGAUUCGUUCCCCUCAAGCUACAGCCCCCUGGGUGGGAUUCACUUCUUUGAUUCCUGAUUGAUUUGUGGUGGUGUUAGGAUGUCUGUUCCUCCUCGUUGUAUUUUUUCGGGUCUCCAGUUCGUGAGUUAUUAUUGAUGUUUUCGAUUUUUGGCCAAUGUUCGUGUGUAAGAACUAAUAUGCAGAUUUUUUCUGAUCUGGAUUUUCUCUUGAAACGCGCAUGGAGUAUUAAAUUUGGAUGUGGAGCAGUGGAGGCAGUCGGGAUUCCAAACUGGAAAUUUUUUUUUACUUUCCAUUCGCGUUUCCUGUGUGGAUUAGUCAAGAGUCGACAAAAUGCUACUACUCGCUCCUCAAUCAAGAAAUCUGCUCGAGGUUUCUGAGUGAGGAAUCAAUUUUGUAUUCCUUUUCUGUCCCUCACCUCUCCUGAUUUUGGGUCUCUCGCCUCCCCUGAUUUUGCGAAAAUUGGGGUCAUUUUCACGGACGAUCGUUCCUAUUUUGGUAAUUGCUGAGAAAUACCGGGAAUUUGGUUUCCGUCUGUUUUGGUGUCCAUCUAACUUUUGUUCUUUCCUUAUUUUGUGUGAAUGGGGAAACUUUUUUUAUACUAUAUAAGAAAGGGAUUGAAAAAAUCUUUAUUAUUCCCUGUAUUUUGGAAUCUGACUAAGAAAAUUUCGUGCUCUGCUGUUUCUGGUUCUAAGCUCCCGUCACCAUGAGCUCCUUCCACUAGACUAGCACGACGGUUUCUGGGCAGGGCGGCCUCGCGGAAGAUCACUCACGCCCAGCACACUGCCGAUUGCUCGCAGCGCACCUUCUCCUCCUCCUUCUCCCAUCUGACGUGCUCUUCCCCGGCACUCUCGCGGAGGGCCUUGUACGAGUCCCGCUGGAGAAGCUACCAGUCGACGAGAACCGAGAGGACGCCUAGAGCCUCCUCGCACGGUGCCACGGCGUCGUCUUUAGCUAUAUCGCCGACGCUCAGAGAAGCCGCCGGCAAAGGGCCACAUUGUAGCCAUCGGAACACCGCCGCCCCGCCGCAGAGCUCCACCGCAAGAUAAAGCAGAGAAAGGCAUCUUUUUGCGUGAGAAAAGUGUCUUCCAUGUGAUCGUGGAUCCCAUGUCUAGUCUGUGUGUAGGGAGACUAUAAUUCAUAGUCCACCCGUGAUUUUUUCUUGUUAAAUAAAGUAAUGAGCGUGGAACCUGGCACCAGUGCUUUUUUC